GACGAACGCUGGCGGCGUGCUUAACACAUGCAAGUCGAACGGUAAGGCCCCAGCUUGCUGGGGUACACGAGUGGCGAACGGGUGAGUAACACGUGGGUGACCUGCCCCGCACUUCGGGAUAAGCCUGGGAAACUGGGUCUAAUACCGGAUAGGACCGCACCGUGAGGGGGUGGUGGAAAGUUUUUCGGUGUGGGAUGGGCCCGCGGCCUAUCAGCUUGUUGGUGGGGUAAUGGCCUACCAAGGCGGCGACGGGUAGCCGGCCUGAGAGGGUGGACGGCCACAUUGGGACUGAGACACGGCCCAGACUCCUACGGGAGGCAGCAGUGGGGAAUAUUGCACAAUGGGCGGAAGCCUGAUGCAGCGACGCCGCGUGGGGGAUGACGGCCUUCGGGUUGUAAACUCCUUUCACCAUCGACGAAGGUUUUCUGACGGUAGAUGGAGAAGAAGCACCGGCUAACUACGUG
rnacentral:rRNA from 1 species